CAGUAUACGAAGAAGAUCACGUUCCCGACAAAUCGCUCUCACACAGUCAGCAGAAGUAUGAUAGGCUGGAUGACCUGAUGACUAUGUAAUCUGGGUAGAGAGCUGCAUGUGCCAAUGAUGGUCCGACGUCGUUUUAGUCCUUGGCCUUUAACAUAGUUUUUCUUCACGACUGACGCCCUCUCCCACUAUUCUUGAUCAAUCGACGGACGCGGGGUGCCUUCUGGAUAGCGCUCGUUCAUUAAAUUGGUAUAAGUGUCAUGUCAGAAGGUCAACAAUUAUAUAGUUAAAAAUAAAUAAAUAAAUGCUAUAAAAGGUCGUCACAAUUUAUAAACAACAUAUUAGUAUAAAGUUAACUUAUUAUCGUUGUCUGAAUAGCCUCAGGCAGACCAUCGCGGGUGGCCACAUA
rnacentral:lncRNA from 1 species